AACGAACGCUGGCGGCAUGCCUAACACAUGCCAGUCGAACGAGACCUUCGGGUCUAGUGGCGCACGGGUGCGUAACGCGUGGGAACCUGCCCUUAGGUUCGGAAUAACUCCCCGAAAGGGGUGCUAAUACCGGAUAAUGUCUUCGGACCAAUGAUUUAUCGCCUUUGGAUGGGCCCGCGUUGGAUUAGCUAGUUGGUAGGGUAAAAGCCUACCAAGGCGACGAUCCAUAGCUGGUAUGAGAGGAUGAUCAGCCACACUGGGACUGAGACACGGCCCAGACUCCUACGGGAGGCAGCAGUGGGGAAUAUUGGACAAUGGGCGAAAGCCUGAUCCAGCAAUGCCGCGUGAGUGAUGAAGGCCUUAGGGUUGUAAAGCUCUUUUACCCGGGAUGAUAAUGACAGUACCGGGAGAAUAAGCUCCGGCUAACUCCGUG
rnacentral:rRNA from 1 species